rnacentral:rRNA from 1 species
UUCGGCGUCCGAGUUGUAAUUUGUAGAGGAUGCUUCAGGCGCGGCGCCGACCGAAGUUCUUUGGAACAGGACGUCAGAGAGGGUGAGAACCCCGUAUGCGUUCGGCGCGCAGUUGCCUGUGUGAAGCUCCUUCGACGAGUCGAGUUGUUUGGGAAUGCAGCUCUAAAUGGGUGGUAAAUUCCAUCUAAAGCUAAAUACUGGCCAGAGACCGAUAGCGCACAAGUAGAGUGAUCGAAAGAUGAAAAGCACUUUGAAAAGAGAGUUAAAAAGUACGUGAAAUUGUUGAAAGGGAAGCGCUUGCAACCAGACUCGUCCGCGGGGGUAUCGUUCGCCGUCAGGCGGGCGUAUACGCCUCCGCGGCCGGGCCAGCAUCGGUUUGGGCGACCGGAUAAAGGCCCUAGGAAUGUGACCCUCCUUCGGGAGGGUGUUAUAGCCUAGGGUGCAAUGCGGCCAGCCUGGACCGAGGUCCGCGCUUCGGCUAGGAUGCUGGCGUAAUGGUUGUAAGCGGCCCGUCUUGAAACACGGACCAAGGAGUCUAACAUCUAUGCGAGUGUUCGGGUGUCAAACCCGUGCGCGUAAUGAAAGUGAACGGAGGUGGGAACCCCUCGGGGCGCACCAUCGACCGAUCCUGAUGUCUUCGGAAGGAUUUGAGUAAGAGCAUAGCUGUUGGGACCCGAAAGAUGGUGAACUAUGCGUGAAUAGGGUGAAGCCAGAGGAAACUCUGGUGGAGGCUCGCAGCGGUUCUGACGUGCAAAUCGAUCGUCAAAUUUGCGUAUAGGGGCGAAAGACUA